rnacentral:lncRNA from 1 species
CCAUGGCAUUACUCACUGUUGCCACCUGACUCUUGGAAAUGAAGAAUGCAUCUUUUUGUAUUCUUGCUGUCCAGCAUGCCAGUGCUUCCUCCACGAAUUUGAAAGACAUAUUGGCUGACCUGAUGCGUAAGAAGCAGGCCAGAAUUAAGACCUUCAGGCAGCAACAUGGCAAGAUGGUGGCAGGCCAAAUCACUGUGAACAUGAAAAAUGAUGGCACAAUAGGCACCAAGGACUGGUACAUGAAAUGUCAGUUCUUGAUCCUGAUGAUAGUGUCUGUUUUUUUAAGGUCAUGGUAUCCCUGAAUGCCAGAGGCUGCUGCCCAAAACUAAAGGUGGGAAAGAAUUAAGGGCGGCAAAGAUGUGUCAGAUGAGCAUUUAAGAGAAUACAUCUCGAACAAACUCAGGACAGGUUGUCCCAGGCUCUGGCCAUGCAGUCUUCUAAGGAAGACUGAUUCAUGGUAUACCUGUCAGUGAGAGUUUGCUCUGAAACACCUGCCUAGUGACCCCAUGUUAAGCUGACUGCUCAACUGCACAAGAUUCUGUCCAAAAUCCUCUUAGAGCAGGGCAAGGCCAAGAAUCCUUGGCCCAACGUUGAUGCCCACAGUUGGGUGUUGCUCCAGUACUGCGGUAUGAUGGAGACGAAUUACUACAUAGUCCUAUUUGGGGUGUCAUAAGCAGUGGGUAUACUGGCACAGCACAUUUGAAGGCGAGCCCGAGGCCUCCCUCUAGAGAGGUCCAAGUCCAUGAGCACAGAUGGUCUGAUGAGGGGUUGUGAAUUC